GCCCUCGUAGCUCAGCUGGAUAGAGCAGCACACUUCUAAUGUGCAGGUCUUAGGUUCGAAUCCUAACGGGGGUA
rnacentral:tRNA from 1 species